rnacentral:rRNA from 1 species
UACAGAGGUCUCAAGCGUUGUUCGGAUUCAUUGGGCGUAAAGGGUGCGUAGGCGGUCGCGCGCGUGGGGUGUGAAAUCUGGCCGCUUAACGGCCAGGCGCCAUCCCAUACGGCGCGACUGGAGGCUUGCAGAGGUCGGUGGAAUUGCCGGUGUAGUGGUGAAAUGCGUAGAGAUCGGCAGGAACACCCAGGGGGGAAACCAGCCGACUGGGCAAGUGCUGACGCUGAGGUGCGAGAGCGUGGGGGAGCGAACCGG